GACGAACGCUGGCGGCGUGCCUAACACAUGCAAGUCGAACGGAAAGGCCCUGCUCUUGUGGGGCGCUCGAUUGGCGAACGGGUGUGUAACACGUGAGUAACCUCCCCCUGUCUUUGUGAUAACUCCAGGAAACUGGGGCUAUUACCGGAUAGGAGCUCCUGCUGCACGGUGGGGGUUGGAAAGUUUCGGCGGUUCUGGCUCGACUCGCGGCUUAUCAGCUUGUUUGUCGAGUAGUGGCUUACGAGGGUUUUGACGGCUAGCCGGCCUUGGAGGGUGACCGGCGACAUUGGGACUGAGGUACGGCCCAGACUGGUACGGGCGGCAGCAGUGGGGAGUAUUGCGGAAUGGGCGGGAGCCUGAUGCAGCAACGCCGCGUGCGGGAUGACGGCCUACGGGUUGUGAACCGAUUUCGACUGUGACGAAGCGUGAGUGACGGUAAUGGGUAAGGAAGCAACGGCUAACUACGUG
rnacentral:rRNA from 1 species